AUGGAUGAGGCGGCCGCCUCGGCCAGAGGCUUAACCAGGAGCAGAAGGAGGUUAUGCGCUCCAAGCCCAGCUUCACCGCCAUCAUCGGCGAGCUCAAGCGCCUCCAUGCGCGCCGCUCUUCCUGCUUCCGCAGUGAGCGUGUCCUACCGCGAGUCCGCGACGCGCUCCAGGCCUGUGGCCAGCAUGCCCGCUUAUGGCUCGCCCGCGCCGAUGAGCCGAUCUACCCUGGCCCCUCUUUUACUUGUGAAUGUUACUGAUAUAGUAGAUAUGUUAUCUUGUUUGAUUGGAAAUGAUUAUUGA
rnacentral:rRNA from 1 species